GAUGAACGCUGGCGGCAUGCCUAAUACAUGCAAGUCGAGCGAACAGACGAGGAGCUUGCUCCUCUGACGUUAGCGGCGGACGGGUGAGUAACACGUGGAUAACCUACCUAUAAGACUGGGAUAACUUCGGGAAACCGGAGCUAAUACCGGAUAAUAUAUUGAACCGCAUGGUUCAAUAGUGAAAGACGGUUUUGCUGUCACUUAUAGAUGGAUCCGCGCUGCAUUAGCUAGUUGGUAAGGUAACGGCUUACCAAGGCAACGAUGCGUAGCCGACCUGAGAGGGUGAUCGGCCACACUGGAACUGAGACACGGUCCAGACUCCUACGGGAGGCAGCAGUAGGGAAUCUUCCGCAAUGGGCGAAAGCCUGACGGAGCAACGCCGCGUGAGUGAUGAAGGUCUUCGGAUCGUAAAACUCUGUUAUUAGGGAAGAACAAAUGUGUAAGUAACUAUGCACGUCUUGACGGUACCUAAUCAGAAAGCCACGGCUAACUACGUG
rnacentral:rRNA from 1 species